CCUACGGGUGGCAGCAGUGAGGAAUAUUGGUCAAUGGGCGGAAGCCUGAACCAGCCAAGUAGCGUGCAGGAUGACGGCCCUACGGGUUGUAAACUGCUUUUAUACGGGAAUAACGCGCCUUACGUGUAGGGCUUUUCAUGUACCGUAUGAAUAAGGACCGGCUAAUUCCGUGCCCGCAGCCGCGGUAAUACGGAAGGUCCGGGGGUUAUCCGGGUUUAUUUGGGUUAAAGGGAUGGUAAGCCGGAGGUCAAGCGUGCUGUGAAAUGCCCGGGCUCAACCCGGGCCUUGCAGGGGAAACUGGCGUGCUUGAGUGCGCGGAAAGCAGGCGGAAUGCGUGGUGUAGCGGUGAAAUGCUUAGAUAUGACGAAGAACCCCGAUUGCGAAGGCAGCUUGCUGCAGCGGAACUGACGCUGAUGCUCGAAAGCGCGGGUAUCGAACAGGAUUAGAUACCCGGGUAGUC
rnacentral:rRNA from 1 species